rnacentral:lncRNA from 1 species
UAAUUAUACACUAAAACAUUUUUGGGAGUGUUUUUGGGCAUUCAGUUCCGGCACGAAAAAUGAUGCAAAACGGGUGCAUUUCGGCACCCGAAUGCACUAUUUCCGGGUAGCGAAACUCGGGUGGAUUUUUCCGCAACGAACGCAUCGAAUCUUCCUAAUUAUACACUAAAACAUGUUUGGGAGUGUUUUUGGGCAUUCGGUUCCGGCACGAAAAAUGAUGCGAAACGGGUGCAUUUCGACACCCGAAUGCACUAUUUUCGGGUAGCGAAACUUGGGUGGAUUUUUUCGCAACGAACGCAUGCAAUCUUCGUAAUUAGACCCUAGAACAUGUUUGGGAGUGUUUUUGAGCAUUCGGUUCCGGAACGAAAAAUGAUGCAAAACGGGUGCAUUUCGGCACCCGAAUGCACUUUUUCCGUGUAGCGAAAAUCGGGUGGAUUUUUUCGCAACGAACGCAUGCAAUCUUCCUAAUUAUACCCUAGAACAUGUUUGGGAGUGUUUUUGAGCAUUCAGUUCCGGAACGAAAAAUGAUGCAAAACGGGUGCAUUUCGGCACCCGAAUGCAUAUUGCCGGGUAGCGAAACUCGGGUGGAUUUUUUCGCAACGAACGCAUGCAAUCUUCGUAAUUAUACCCUAGAACAUGUUUGGGAGUGUUUUUGAGCAUUCGGUUCCGGAACGAAAAAUGAUGCAAAACGGGUGCAUUUCGGCACCCGAAUGCUAUAUUUCCGGGUAGCGAAACUCGGGUGGAUUUUUCCACAACGAAUGCAUCCAAUCUUCCUAAUUAUACACUAAAACAUUUUUGGGAGUGUUUUUGGGCAUUCAGUUCCGGCACGAAAAAUGAUGCAAAACGGGUGCAUUUCGGCACCCGAAUGCACUAUUUCCGGGUAGCGAAACUCGGGUGGAUUUUUUCGCAACGAACGCAUGCAAUCUUCGUAAUUAUACCCUAGAAAAUGUUUGGGAGUGUUUUUGAGCAUUCGGUUCCGGAACGAAAAAUGAUGCAAAACGGGUGCAUUUCGGCACCCGAAUGCACUAUUUCUGGGUAGCGAAACUCGUGUGGAUUUUUUCGCAACGAACGCAUGCAAUCUUCCUAAUUAUACCCUAGAACAUGUUUGGAAAUGUUUUUGAGCAUUCGGUUCCGGCACGAAAAACGAUGCAAAACGGGUGCAAUACGGCACCCGAAUGCUAUAUUUCCGGGUAGCGAAAGUCGGGUGGAUUUUUUCGCAACGAACGCAUGCAAUCUUCCUAAUUAUACCCUAGAACAUGUUUGGGAGUGUUUUUGGGCAUUCGGUCUCGGCACGAAAAAUGAUGCAAAACGGGUGCAUUUCGACAUCCGAAUGCACUAUUUCCGGGUAGCGAAACUCGGGUGGAUUUUUUCGCAACGAACGCACCCAAUCUACCUCAUUAGACCCUAGAACUUGUUUGGGAUUGUUUUCGAGCAUUCAGUUCCGUCACGAAAAAUGAUGCAAAACGAGUGGAUUUCGGCACCCGAAUGCACUAUUUGCGGGUAGCGAAACUCGGGUGGAUUUUUUCGCAACGAACGCAUGCAAUCUUCCUAAUUAUACCCUAGAACAUGUUUGGGAGUGUUUUUGAGCAUUCGGUUCCGGAACGAAAAAUGAUGCAAAACGGGUGCAUUUCGGCACCCGAAUGCAUAUUGCUGGGUAGCGAAAGUCGGGUGGAUUUUUUCGCAACGAACGCAUGCAAUCUUCCUAAUUAUACCCUAGAACAUGUUUGGGAGUGUUUUUGAGCAUUCGGUUCCGGAACGAAAAAUGAUGCAAAACGGGUGCAUUUCGGCACCCGAAUGCAUUAUUUCCGGGUAACGAAACUCGGGUGGAUUUUUUCGCAACGAACGCAUGCAAUCUUCCUAAUUAUACCCUAGAACAUGUUUGGAAAUGUUUUUGAGCAUUCGGUUCCGGCACAAAAAACGAUGCAAAACCGGUGCAAUACGGCACCCGAAUGCUAUAGUUCCGGGUAACGAAAGUCGGGUAGAUUUUUUCGCAACGAACGCAUGGAAUCUUCCUAAUUAUACCCUAGAACAUGUUCAGAAGUGGUUCCGAGCAUUCGGUUCCGUCACGAAAAAUGAUGCAAAAACAGUGGAUUUUGGCACCCAAAUCCACUAUUUCCAGGUAGCGAAACUCGUGUUCAUUUUCUCGCAACGAACGCAUCCAAUCUACCUCAUUAGACCGUAGAACAUGUUUGGAAGUGUCUUCGAGCAUUCGGUUUCGGCACGAAAAAUGAUGCAAAACGAGUGGAUUUCGGCACCCGAAUGCACUAUUUCCGGGUAGCGAAACUCGGGUGGAUUUUUUCGCAACGAACGCAUGCAAUCUUCGUAAUUAUACCCUAGAACAUGUUUGGGAGUGUUUUUGAGCAUUCGGUUCCGGCACGAAAAAUGAUGCAAAACGGGUGCAUUUCGGCACCCGAAUGCUAUAUUUCCGGGUAGCGAAACUCGGGUGGAUUUUUCCACAACGAAUGCAUCCAAUCUUCCUAAUUAUACACUAAAACAUUUUUGGGAGUGUUUUUGGGCAUUCAGUUCCGGCACGAAAAAUGAUGCAAAACGGGUGCAUUUCGGCACCCGAAUGCACUAUUUCCGGGUAGCGAAACUCGGGUGGAUUUUUUCGCAACGAACGCAUGCAAUCUUCGUAAUUAUACCCUAGAAAAUGUUUGGGAGUGUUUUUGAGCAUUCGGUUCCGGAACGAAAAAUGAUGCAAAACGGGUGCAUUUCGGCACCCGAAUGCACUAUUUCUGGGUAGCGAAACUCGUGUGGAUUUUUUCGCAACGAACGCAUGCAAUCUUCCUAAUUAUACCCUAGAACAUGUUUGGAAAUGUUUUUGAGCAUUCGGUUCCGGCACGAAAAACGAUGCAAAACGGGUGCAAUACGGCACCCGAAUGCUAUAUUUCCGGGUAGCGAAAGUCGGGUGGAUUUUUUCGCAACGAACGCAUGCAAUCUUCCUAAUUAUACCCUAGAACAUGUUUGGGAGUGUUUUUGGGCAUUCGGUCUCGGCACGAAAAAUGAUGCAAAACGGGUGCAUUUCGACAUCCGAAUGCACUAUUUCCGGGUAGCGAAACUCGGGUGGAUUUUUUCGCAACGAACGCACCCAAUCUACCUCAUUAGACCCUAGAACUUGUUUGGGAUUGUUUUCGAGCAUUCAGUUCCGUCACGAAAAAUGAUGCAAAACGAGUGGAUUUCGGCACCCGAAUGCACUAUUUGCGGGUAGCGAAACUCGGGUGGAUUUUUUCGCAACGAACGCAUGCAAUCUUCGUAAUUAUACCCUAGAAAAUGUUUGGGAGUGUUUUUGAGCAUUCGGUUCCGGAACGAAAAAUGAUGCAAAACGGGUGCAUUUCGGCACCCGAAUGCAUUAUUUCCGGGUAACGAAACUCGGGUGGAUUUUUUCGCAACGAACGCAUGCAAUCUUCCUAAUUAUACCCUAGAACAUGUUUGGAAAUGUUUUUUAGGAUUCGGUUCCGGCACAAAAAACGAUGCAAAACCGGUGCAAUACGGCACCCGAAUGCUAUAGUUCCGGGUAACAAAAGUCGGGUAGAUUUUUUCGCAACGAACGCAUGGAAUCUUCCUAAUUAUACCCUAGAACAUGUUCAGAAGUGUUUCCGAGCAUUCGGUUCCGUCACGAAAAAUGAUGCAAAAACAGUGGAUUUUGGCACCCAAAUCCACUAUUUCCAGGUAGCGAAACUCGUGUUCAUUUUCUCGCAACGAACGCAUCCAAUCUACCUCAUUAGACCGUAGAACAUGUUUGGAAGUGUCUUCGAGCAUUCGGUUUCGGCACGAAAAAUGAUGCAAAACGAGUGGAUUUCGGCACCCGAAUGCACUAUUUCCGGGUAGCGAAACUCGGGUGGAUUUUUUCGCAACGAACGCAUGCAAUCUUCGUAAUUAUACCCUAGAACAUGUUUGGGAGUGUUUUUGAGCAUUCGGUUCCGGCACGAAAAAUGAUGCAAAACGGGUGCAUUUCGGCACCCGAAUGCUAUAUUUCCGGGUAGCGAAACUCGGGUGGAUUUUUCCACAACGAAUGCAUCCAAUCUUCCUAAUUAUACACUAAAACAUUUUGGGAGUGUUUUUGGGCAUUCAGUUCUGGCACGAAAAAUGAUGCAAAACGGGUGCAUUUCGGCACCCGAAUGCACUAUUUCCGGGUAGCGAAACUCGGGUGGAUUUUUCCGCAACGAACGCAUCCAAUCUUCCUAAUUAUACACUAAAACAUGUUUGGGAGUGUUUUUGGGCAUUCGGUUCCGGCACGAAAAAUGAUGCAAAACGGGUGCAUUUCGACACCCGAAUGCACUAUUUUCGGGUAGCGAAACUCGGGUGGAUUUUUUCGCAACGAACGCAUGCAAUCUUCGUAAUUAGACCCUAGAACAUGUUUGGGAGUGUUUUUGAGCAUUCGGUUCCGGAACGAAAAAUGAUGCAAAACGGGUGCAUUUCGGCACCCGAAUGCACUUUUUCCGUGUAGCGAAAAUCGGGUGGAUUUUUUCGCAACGAACGCAUGCAAUCUUCCUAAUUAUACCCUAGAACAUGUUUGGGA